CUUCUUUUUCUACUAAUAAUUGUGUUGAACGUUGAUAGGUUGAAUUCUUAUUAACUAUUGUUAAGCUGCAAUCAGUUCCAAACAGUAAUAUUUGUGACAAUAGGUUAAUUGUUGGAAAGAAUAGGCAAACUACGAACUGAUUUUAGGCCCUUCCUAUGUUUUUUACAGAGGACAUGUUGUGCGAUAUAAUAUAAGAAAACACAAAACCUCAUAAUCUCUUCUGGACUCAUCCCUCAGUCCACGGAUCGACUACGAGUCCCCAACGCCCAAAUACUCUAUAAAUGGAAAAAAGGAAGAAAAGAUUGUGAACAAACUCAUGAGGAAGUUCCUUCAACUCAGUUCAAAUUUGACUUUGGAUGUGGACAAAUGAGUCUGGAAAUAUAGCGGAAGUACAUUUUCUGAAGCUGUAUUUGGAAGUAUAGCUAAAAAAAAGUUGGAUCCAUAUAAAAAACACCAAAUCAAAACUUUUGAAUCUGACAUAUUCAAAUAUAAACAUUGCAUGAUUUUAGUUUUCAUUAAUGAUUGCCUUCUUGCAGGGUGAGUCAUCUAAUUUUUCUUUGAGAGUUGCGAAGAAUUCAAAGGAGUAUUUCAUCAUAGGAUAUCCGUUGCUUUUGUUAUAAAGUAAAUGAUAAUAAAUUAUCAUGUAGAGUCCGUAGCCAAAUUCAA
rnacentral:lncRNA from 1 species